GGACGGGUGAGUAACGCGUGGGUAACCUGCCUCAUACAGGGGGAUAACAGUUAGAAAUGACUGCUAAUACCGCAUAAGCGCACAGUGCUGCAUGGCACAGUGUGAAAAACUCCGGUGGUAUAAGAUGGACCCGCGUUGGAUUAGCUAGUUGGUGGGGUAACGGCCCACCAAGGCGACGAUCCAUAGCCGGCCUGAGAGGGUGAACGGCCACAUUGGGACUGAGACACGGCCCAGACUCCUACGGGAGGCAGCAUG
rnacentral:rRNA from 1 species